GAUGAACGCUGGCGGCGUGCCUAAUACAUGCAAGUCGAGCGAACAGAUGAGGAGCUUGCUCCUCUGACGUUAGCGGCGGACGGGUGAGUAACACGUGGAUAACCUACCUCUAAGACUGGGAUAACUUCGGGAAACCGGAGCUAAUACCGGAUAAUAUAUUGAACCGCAUGGUUCAAUAGUGAAAGACGGUUUUGCUGUCACUUAUAGAUGGAUCCGCGCCGCAUUAGCUAGUUGGUAAGGUAACGGCUUACCAAGGCAACGAUGCGUAGCCGACCUGAGAGGGUGAUCGGCCACACUGGAACUGAGACACGGUCCAGACUCCUACGGGAGGCAGCAGUAGGGAAUCUUCCGCAAUGGGCGAAAGCCUGACGGAGCAACGCCGCGUGAGUGAUGAAGGUCUUCGGAUCGUAAAACUCUGUUAUUAGGGAAGAACAAAUGUGUAAGUAACUAUGAACGUCUUGACGGUACCUAAUCAGAAAGCCACGGCUAACUACGUG
rnacentral:rRNA from 1 species